GCCAGGCACAGUGGCUCAUGCCUGUAAUCCCAGUGACUUGGGAGACGGAGGCAGGAGGAUCGCAAGUUUGAGGCCAGCCUUGGGAACUUAGUGAGACCCUGUCUCAA
rnacentral:sRNA from 1 species